rnacentral:rRNA from 1 species
UACGUAGGGUGCAAGCGUUGUUCGGAAUUACUGGGCGUAAAGGGCGCGUAGGCGGGUCUAUAAGUCGAUUGUGAAAGCCCCGGGCUUAACCUGGGAACAGCAGUCGAAACUGUAGAUCUUGGAUACCUGAGAGGAUGGCGGAAUUCCCGGUGUAGAAGUGAAAUUCGUAGAUAUCGGGAGGAACACCAGUGGCGAAGGCGACUUCCUGGCCUGUUCUUGACGCUGAGGCGCGAAAGCUAGGGUAGCAAACGGG